rnacentral:rRNA from 1 species
GAGGCCUACGGGGGGCAGCAGUGGGGAAUAUUGGGCAAUGGGCGCAAGCCUGACCCAGCAACGCCGCGUGAAGGAAGAAGGCCCUCGGGUUGUAAACUUCUUUUAUUCGGGACGAAACAAAUGACGGUACCGAAUGAAUAAGCCACGGCUAACUACGUGCCAGCAGCCGCGGUAAAACGUAGGGGGCGAGCGUUGUCCGGAAUGACUGGGCGUAAAGGGUGCGUAGGCGGCAUAAUAAGUUAGAAGUGAAAUACCCAGAGCUUAACUCGGGUGCUGCUUCUAAGACUGUUGAGCUUGAGUGCGGG